rnacentral:rRNA from 1 species
AGAACGAACGCUGGCGGCAGGCUUAACACAUGCAAGUCGAACGCGUGUAGCAAUACACGAGUGGCGCACGGGUGAGUAACGCGUGGAUAUCUGCCUUUUGGUUCGGAAUAACCCCGGGAAACUGGGGCUAAUACCGGAUGGUUCCUACGGGAUAAAGAUUUAUCGCCAAAAGAUGAGUCCGCGUACGAUUAGCUAGUUGGUGAGGUAAUGGCUCACCAAGGCGACGAUCGUUAGCUGGUCUGAGAGGACGAUCAGCCACACUGGGACUGAGACACGGCCCAGACUCCUACGGGAGGCAGCAGUGGGGAAUUUGCGCAAUGGGGGAAACCCUGACGCAGCAACGCCGCGUGGAGGAUGAAAUAUCUUGGUAUGUAAACUCCUUUCGAUGGGGAAGAUUAUGACGGUACCCAUAGAAGAAGCCCCGGCUAACUUCGCGCCAGCAGCCGC